AUUGAACGCUGGCGGCAGGCCUAACACAUGCAAGUCGAGCGGCUCGCCGGACGGGUGCGUAUUGCCUAUGUAUCUGCCUGGUAGUGAGGGAUAACGUUCGGAAACGGGCGCUAUUACCGCAUCCUCUCACCUUAGCCUAGGUGGGAUUAGCUAGUUGGUGGGGUAAAGGCUUACCAAGGCGACGAUCCGUAUCCGGUCUGAGAGGAUGAUCAGUCACACUGGAACUGAGACACGGUCCAGACUCCUACGGGAGGCAGCAGUGGGGAAUAUUGGACAAUGGGCGAAAGCCUGAUGCAGCCAUGCCGCGUGUGUGAAGAAGGUCUUCGGAUUGUAAAGCACUUUAAGUUGGGAGGCGUUACCAACAGAAUAAGCACCGGCUAACUUCGUGCCAGCAGCCGCGGUAAUUC
rnacentral:rRNA from 1 species